CCUGCCAUAAGUUGAAAAAUAUCUGUAGCUGAAGCACAUGGAGUUCCGAUGUGUUUCUAUAUUGGAAGUAACUUGAGUGUGCGCACAGUGAAUUUUUUUAUCUAUCCUGUUUAUUCUUUGUUCAAGAUGUUUGGCCAAGGGAUCAAUGGUGAUGUUUCAAAAAUUCGCUUAGUUCUCAUUCAUUCCUUCCAAUAUAGUAGCCCAUCAUUCGGUGGUACGAGAUCCUGAUAUGUGAUUACCAGUUAUUUUAGGUUAUGCCUUCAAGUCGGCGGCUGAGAAAACGCCUAAGAAUUUACCCUUCAAAUCUGAAACUUCAUAUGAGCUACUGCCUUUCUUCCCGAUGAUGAUGCAGGGCGCAUACUGGGGUCCGAGUUUGGCGUUAAAGUUAUCACCUGAGGAAGACUGGCGAAAGGAUCGCUUAUAAACUCGUUGUCCCACAUCGAAUGUCGAUUUUAAAAAUCCACGCAACUUUCGUUCCUGCUUGCUGCGCGAUUCGUUCAUCAUUUCCGCACCGCGGAUCUGUAGUUCAUGAUCCAGUUCAUCGUUGGUUAAAUGGGCCACAUUCAUCGUGUAAUAUUUCGUGAGAAGGUGUUGCUGUUCCAUUGCAAAAUUUGUAACAAACACACUCAAGCCACUGAAUGUUAAUUAAGGAAAAUAAA